GGGUUGUGAGGUUAAGCGACUAAGCGUACACGGUGGAUGCCCUGGCAGUCAGAGGCGAUGAAGGACGUGCUAAUCUGCGAUAAGCGUCGGUGAGGUGAUAUGAACCGUUAUAACCGGCGAUUUCCGAAUGGGGAAACCCAGUGUGUUUCGACACACUAUCAUUAACUGAAUCCAUAGGUUAAUGAGGCGAACCGGGGGAACUGAAACAUCUAAGUACCCCGAGGAAAAGAAAUCAACCGAGAUUCCCCCAGUAGCGGCGAGCGAACGGGGAGCAGCCCAGAGCCUGAAUCAGUGUGUGUGUUAGUGGAAGCGUCUGGAAAGGCGCGCGAUACAGGGUGACAGCCCCGUACACAAAAAUGCACAUACUGUGAGCUCGAUGAGUAGGGCGGGACACGUGGUAUCCUGUCUGAAUAUGGGGGGACCAUCCUCCAAGGCUAAAUACUCCUGACUGACCGAUAGUGAACCAGUACCGUGAGGGAAAGGCGAAAAGAACCCCGGCGAGGGGAGUGAAAAAGAACCUGAAACCGUGUACGUACAAGCAGUGGGAGCCUCUUAAUGGGGUGACUGCGUACCUUUUGUAUAAUGGGUCAGCGACUUAUAUUCUGUAGCAAGGUUAACCGAAUAGGGGAGCCGAAGGGAAACCGAGUCUUAACUGGGCGUUAAGUUGCAGGGUAUAGACCCGAAACCCGGUGAUCUAGCCAUGGGCAGGUUGAAGGUUGGGUAACACUAACUGGAGGACCGAACCGACUAAUGUUGAAAAAUUAGCGGAUGACUUGUGGCUGGGGGUGAAAGGCCAAUCAAACCGGGAGAUAGCUGGUUCUCCCCGAAAGCUAUUUAGGUAGCGCCUCGUGAAUUCAUCUCCGGGGGUAGAGCACUGUUUCGGCAAGGGGGUCAUCCCGACUUACCAACCCGAUGCAAACUGCGAAUACCGGAGAAUGUUAUCACGGGAGACACACGGCGGGUGCUAACGUCCGUCGUGAAGAGGGAAACAACCCAGACCGCCAGCUAAGGUCCCAAAGUCAUGGUUAAGUGGGAAACGAUGUGGGAAGGCCCAGACAGCCAGGAUGUUGGCUUAGAAGCAGCCAUCAUUUAAAGAAAGCGUAAUAGCUCACUGGUCGAGUCGGCCUGCGCGGAAGAUGUAACGGGGCUAAACCAUGCACCGAAGCUGCGGCAGCGACACUAUGUGUUGUUGGGUAGGGGAGCGUUCUGUAAGCCUGUGAAGGUGUACUGUGAGGUAUGCUGGAGGUAUCAGAAGUGCGAAUGCUGACAUAAGUAACGAUAAAGCGGGUGAAAAGCCCGCUCGCCGGAAGACCAAGGGUUCCUGUCCAACGUUAAUCGGGGCAGGGUGAGUCGACCCCUAAGGCGAGGCCGAAAGGCGUAGUCGAUGGGAAACAGGUUAAUAUUCCUGUACUUGGUGUUACUGCGAAGGGGGGACGGAGAAGGCUAUGUUGGCCGGGCGACGGUUGUCCCGGUUUAAGCGUGUAGGCUGGUUUUCCAGGCAAAUCCGGAAAAUCAAGGCUGAGGCGUGAUGACGAGGCACUACGGUGCUGAAGCAACAAAUGCCCUGCUUCCAGGAAAAGCCUCUAAGCAUCAGGUAACAUCAAAUCGUACCCCAAACCGACACAGGUGGUCAGGUAGAGAAUACCAAGGCGCUUGAGAGAACUCGGGUGAAGGAACUAGGCAAAAUGGUGCCGUAACUUCGGGAGAAGGCACGCUGAUAUGUAGGUGAAGUCCCUUGCGGAUGGAGCUGAAAUCAGUCGAAGAUACCAGCUGGCUGCAACUGUUUAUUAAAAACACAGCACUGUGCAAACACGAAAGUGGACGUAUACGGUGUGACGCCUGCCCGGUGCCGGAAGGUUAAUUGAUGGGGUUAGCGGUAACGCGAAGCUCUUGAUCGAAGCCCCGGUAAACGGCGGCCGUAACUAUAACGGUCCUAAGGUAGCGAAAUUCCUUGUCGGGUAAGUUCCGACCUGCACGAAUGGCGUAAUGAUGGCCAGGCUGUCUCCACCCGAGACUCAGUGAAAUUGAACUCGCUGUGAAGAUGCAGUGUACCCGCGGCAAGACGGAAAGACCCCGUGAACCUUUACUAUAGCUUGACACUGAACAUUGAGCCUUGAUGUGUAGGAUAGGUGGGAGGCUUUGAAGUGUGGACGCCAGUCUGCAUGGAGCCGGCCUUGAAAUACCACCCUUUAAUGUUUGAUGUUCUAACGUUGGCCCCUGAUCGGGGUUGCGGACAGUGUCUGGUGGGUAGUUUGACUGGGGCGGUCUCCUCCUAAAGAGUAACGGAGGAGCACGAAGGUUGGCUAAUCCUGGUCGGACAUCAGGAGGUUAGUGCAAUGGCAUAAGCCAGCUUGACUGCGAGCGUGACGGCGCGAGCAGGUGCGAAAGCAGGUCAUAGUGAUCCGGUGGUUCUGAAUGGAAGGGCCAUCGCUCAACGGAUAAAAGGUACUCCGGGGAUAACAGGCUGAUACCGCCCAAGAGUUCAUAUCGACGGCGGUGUUUGGCACCUCGAUGUCGGCUCAUCACAUCCUGGGGCUGAAGUAGGUCCCAAGGGUAUGGCUGUUCGCCAUUUAAAGUGGUACGCGAGCUGGGUUUAGAACGUCGUGAGACAGUUCGGUCCCUAUCUGCCGUGGGCGCUGGAGAACUGAGGGGGGCUGCUCCUAGUACGAGAGGACCGGAGUGGACGCAUCACUGGUGUUCGGGUUGUCAUGCCAAUGGCACUGCCCGGUAGCUAAAUGCGGAAGAGAUAAGUGCUGAAAGCAUCUAAGCACGAAACUUGCCCCGAGAUGAGUUCUCCCUGACUC
rnacentral:rRNA from 1 species